AUUGAACGCUGGUGGCAGGCCUAACACAUGCAAGUCGAGCGAGCGGCGGACGGGUGAGUAAUGUAUGGGGACUGCCCGAUAGAGGGGGAUAACUACCGGAAACGGUGGCUAAUACCGCCAACUACCGGAUGACCCAAAUGGGAGUAGUUAGUAGGUGGGGUAAAGGCUCACCUAGGCGACGACCACUAGCUGGUCUGAGAGGAUGAUCAGCCACACUGGGACUGAGACAUGGCCCAGACUCCUACGGAGGGAGCAGUGGGGAAUAUUGCACAAUGGGCGCAAGCCUGAUGCAGCCAUGCCGCGUGUAUGAAGAAGGCCUUAGGGUUGUAAAGUACUUUCAGCGGGGAGGCGUUACCCGCAGAAGAAGAACCGGCUAACUACGUGCCAGCCGCCGCGGUAAUAC
rnacentral:rRNA from 1 species